CCCCACUGCUAUCGGGAUGGGACUAAGACAUGCUAGUCGAGCGUCUCCAAGCUAUGGAAGAGACGCGGCACACAGCUCAGUAACACGUGGCUAACCUGCCCUUGGGACAAGGACAACUCCGGGAAACUGGGGCUAAUCCCUGAUAAGUGAGAACUCCUGGAAUGGAUUCUCGCUCAAAGGACGUUUAGACCAUGCUUCUAAGCGUCGCCCAAGGAGGGGGCCGCGACCGAUCAGGUUGUUGGUGAGGUAACGGCUCACCAAGCCUUUAACCGGUACGGGCCGUGAGAGCGGAAGCCCGGAGAUGGGCACUGAGACAAGGGCCCAGGCCCUACGGGGCGCAGCAGUCGCGAAAACUCCGCAAUACACGAAAGUGUGACGGGGCCAUCCCGAGUGCCAUCCGCUGAGGAUGGCUUUUCCCCAGUGUAUAAAGCUGGGGGAAUAAGGAGAGGGCAAGCCUGGUGUCAGCCGCCGCGGUAAUACCAGCUCUCCGAGUGGUGGGGAUGUUUAUUGGGCCUAAAGCAUUCGUAGCCUGCUUGGCAAGUCCUCCGUUAAAUCCAACGAUUCAAUCGUUGGGCUGCGGGGGAUACUGUCCAGCUAGGGGGCGGGAGAGGCCGACGGUAUCCCCGGGGUAGGGGUGAAAUCCUAUAAUCCCGGGAGGACCACCAGUGGCGAAGGCUGUCGGCUAGAACGCGCUCGACGGUGAGGGAUGAAAGCUGGGGGAGCGAACCGGAUUAGAUACCCGGGUAGUCCCAGCUGUAAACGAUGCAGGCUAGGUGUUGGCGCGGCUACGUGCCGCUCCAGUGCCGCAGGGAAGCCGUUAAGCCUGCCGCCUGGGAAGUACGGCCGCAAGGCUGAAACUUAAAGGAAUUGGCGGGGGAGCACCACAAGGUGUGAAGCUUGCGGUUU
rnacentral:rRNA from 1 species